GCUCUUGUGGUCGCCCUGGACGUAGAAAUCCAGCAGGACUGUCUCUGACUGAGGGACUGCUUCUCUGUCCAGUCAAAAAUAUCACCUCCGUGUUCUCGCGAUAUCACAGCGUCUCGCGGUCACUUGGAGCUCGUGUGAGAUGAACUGAACCUUCGCUAAGCCCCGCCCUGCAUAGUUACCGUUACUAAGGUGGCGGAUUUUUAAAAAAAUCAAAAUGGCUUCUUGAUUUCCUUCAGAUAAAUUAUACUGGACUGCAGCGUUGGGACAAAUGAAUAAUAAACAAUAAUGAGUUAGUGCCCAUGCUUGACUGAACUUGUGGAGGAUGUCCAGGCUCUGCUGUAAGGCCUCUUUGGAGGGAGACAAGAGAACCAGGUCAUCAGCAAACAUCAGACAUUUGACCUCUGUGUCCUGCAGAGUCACACCAGGAGCUGUGAAUGUUUGCAGUUGUUCUGCAAAUGAUAAAGUCCCUGCAUGUUUUGAAGGCAGACAGCACAAGCCUCAAA